rnacentral:lncRNA from 1 species
ACAAAAUGACCUCUACACCACUGGUGUGAAUGUCUCUGGCUGAACAAUCAGAAGCUUCAUGAGUGUGGCCUGAGGGGCUGACAUCCUCUAAUAGGCCUUGUGCUCACUGCCUGGUAUUGUGGAGCCUGACUGGCAUUUGCCAUAGAAGACCAUAAUUGGCAGGUCCACCAGUGGUGCCCUGUGCUUUCCACAGAUUAGAGCAGGAUGAUCCUAAGCACAUGUUACAGACAUGAAAGGGUCUGGAGAAGCUGUGGAGCAUCAUCGGUGUGGUGGUGGGUCAGUGAUGGUCUAGGGAGUCGUGUCCAUGGAUGGGAAGUAUAGACCUAUACAGGCUAGAAGGUGACACCCUGACUGCCAUUAGGUAUGAAUGAUGAAAUCCUUGGACACUGUAAGACCCGACGUUGGUGCAGGGGUCCUGGGUUCCUCCUCGUACCUGGUCUCAUGUGAAAAUAGCAUGCAGACAGUUCUUAGCAAUACAGUAACUAACUGCUUCCUUUUUUUCUGCUGCUCCUUCUCAGAUACAAAUAUAGCUGAUUGUGAAGUUCAGCUCUCUUUCUCUGUCUGAUGGUCAUGAUGUUUAGACUGAACCAAGGAGCACUUCUCAUUCCGCUAUUAGUGAUGUGGCAUGUCUUUGCAGGAAUCGCUAAAGACGACCACAGAGCUUUGCUGGUGUCCAGAGGAGACUCAGUGACGCUGAUCUGCAACACAAGACAGAAUAAUACAACCCUAAUCACCUGGACCAACGGCAGAUCUGUUUUUCAAUAUUCCAUUGUGCUGAAUAGCACCCAUUCAAAUUUCUCUUUCCAUAAACUGAAAAUAAAUCGUGAGUUACCUGCAAAGCUAAUUAUUUUUAGUGCUCAGCCUGAAGAUGGAGGACUUUAUACAUGCUACAUAACAGACAGAAGUGGUGUAAACAGCAUUACAUGGAAUUUAACUGUGUCUGAGGACCCCAGAGAUUCCAUUUCAUCAAAGUAUUUUCUAUACAUACUCCCAUCUGCAAUUGGAAUCCUUCUAUGUGGCAUCACACUAGCUGUCUUUAUCUGUGGAAAAAUUGUGAUGAAGACACUGAAUCAGGAUCCAGUCCAGGAUCAGUUUCCUCCCCAGUCAGGAGAAGAGGCAGUUCUUCCUCAACCACAGGGUGGCACUAUUUGUUGUAAAAAUAAAAAGCAGAGGCGUCAGUAUAUGGAGAGGGUGAAUACAAUCUAUGAUAAUGUCUAAAUGGAUUAACAAUCCACAAAAGGGAGCACCAUCAGAGGGAGGACAACAGUGCUACUAUAGCCAAUAGAACAAAUCCCUCUGCUUACAAGAAGCAGCCAAUUAGAAGAAGGUUUGUAUUAAAGAACACGAGAAGGGAACUAAACGUGUUGUUUCAGGGACAGGAUGAACUGCAGGCCUACCAAAUAAAUAGGGAUGGUAUGAAACUGUGAAUCAGAACAAGUCAAGUCCAAGUGUAACUUGAAUCCUUAGGAAUUUUCCCUAAAGUUUUCACUUUAUGACAAUAAUGUAUUCUCAGCUCAAGCUCAUUAAUGUUUUUUCCUCCAAGUUUUCAUUAUAAGCUUGUUACAGGGAGAUUGUUCAUUUUUUUUUUUAGCGUGUGUGUGUGUGUGUGUGUGUGAGAGAGAGAGAGAGAGGGAGAGCGAGGGAGGGACUGUUAUUCUGUCUGUGAACAAAAUAACUUGAAAGAAAAAACCUUGCAGAGUGGGGUCAUGUUAACGAUCCUUUAAAAUUUGGCUUAUGUCCACCAAGGCCUUCAAGGUCAACUUAAUGAUGAUUCUUACAAGUGUGGUGUGUAUUGUCAACAUGUAAAAAAAUUUGAAAAAUCUCUAUAAAGGUUUAAAAUAUCAUGCCAAAAUUUUAUUCAAGGUUGUGAUUGCCUGAAGGUAAAAGUAAUAAUAAGGCAAUUCGGAGCUGUUUAAAACUUUGUUUAUUGCUAUCAUUGUUUGUACUGACAACAUAUAAGGGAUAUAAGUGAAAUGGGGUCAAACUUUCAUAAAGGUACUGUCCCCUUAAAUGUAAAAACUGUUCUUCCUUGGUGGAGGUUUGUGCUCUCGGAACACUUCUUGUAAUAUUUAUAUAUUGCAUAAUUUUUAUUUUAUAUUGAAUUAUUGUUUAAAUAUUAUAUUCAUUAUGAUUUAAUUUGUCAUGUGCUUAAACUUCAUGCAUCGUUAAAUGAACUGCUUUUUUGUCCCCUGCAAGUAACCACUUCCUGUUCUUGGCAUCACCUUUACAAGCACAUGUAGACGUGAUGGUGAAGCUUCACUUUGUCUCUCUGUAAUCAUGUUUCAUCCAGAUCAAUCAGAUAUUCUCUUUAAUUCAUUCUUAGCUGUGUGCCAUGUCCUCACAGGUACCGCACAAGUUUUUGAUGCACAGUUUCUGAGUUUAGUAGCAGAAUUUGUUUUCAUUGAAAGCACAGUGUGCACACUGUGCUUUGCCUGUGAGGUAGGAGAAAGGUGAUUAGAGCUGGGUCUACAGCCACACACACUAUGAUUCAAGAUCUUCCUCUGUCUUUAGUGUACCUGACGCUGUAGUGGACUUGUGUCUGAGAAUAAUAACAAACACUGAUCUAUUAAUUAAAUGGACAUUCAUGGGAAUCGAUUACAAUACCUAGUAGAAGAAAAAUGAUAUGGUUAUAUUUGGCAUACCUGUCAUUCAUGAUGAGGCUAUAAUAACUAAAGUAUAGUGAUCGUUUUUUUCUCCAACACCUUUGAAAAGUGUGAGUUUCCUGUUUGUACUUUUUCUUUGCAGUUAAGCUUGUGAGACCCUGUGUGUGGGCAGAAAUAAAGGAAAUGAGAAGCACCUUCUGUACUGCUAGA